rnacentral:rRNA from 1 species
UACGUAGGGGGCAAGCGUUAUCCGGAUUUACUGGGUGUAAAGGGAGCGUAGGCGGUGCAGCAAGUCAGAAGUGAAAGCCCGGGGCUCAACUCCGGGACUGCUUUUGAAACUGUCGAACUAGAUUGCAGGAGAGGUAAGUGGAAUUCCUAGUGUAGCGGUGAAAUGCGUAGAUAUUAGGAGGAACACCAGUGGCGAAGGCGGCUUACUGGACUGUAAAUGACGCUGAGGCUCGAAAGCGUGGGGAGCAAACAGG